rnacentral:tRNA from 1 species
GAGGUAUUAGUAAAAAUUACAUGCUUUGUCAAAGUUAAAGCGUAGGUUCAAAUCCUUUACGUCUCU